AAAGGAUAGAGCCCGGCUUGCCGGUGAUCUGCCUACCUUGCAUAACAUACCUUUGUUGCUUUGGCGGGGCGCCUCUCGGCCAGCGGCUCCGGCUGCUGCGUCCCCGCCAGAGAACCACAACUCUUGUUUUUAGUGAUGUCUGAGUACUAUAUAAUAGUUA
rnacentral:misc_RNA from 1 species